UACAGAGGAGCCAAGCGUUGUCCGGAUUGACUGGGCGUAAAGCGCACGCAGGCGGAUGCGCGCGUGGGGUGUGAAAUCUGGCCGCUUAACGGCCAGGCGCCAUCCCAUACGGCACGCCUGGAGCCCUGCAGAGGUCGGUGGAAUUGCCGGUGUAGUGGUGAAAUGCGUAGAGAUCGGCAGGAACACCCAGGGGGAAACCAGCUGACUGGGCAAGUGCUGACGCUGAGGUGCGAGAGCGUGGGGAGCGAACCGG
rnacentral:rRNA from 1 species